rnacentral:hammerhead_ribozyme from 1 species
AUCCAGCUGACGAGUCCCACAUAAGACGAAACGCGCGUCCUGGAU